UGUGCCAACGGACCGGCACAGGCUAUCAAGGAUGACGGCCAAGGACAUCGCGGGAUGCGAUUCAUCAGGAUGAUGACAAGGGAAUACAGGGAUCAAGGAAAAAUGUGGGCGGUUCAUACCGCCCCUUUUUUU
rfam:Pseudomonas syringae pv. pisi str. 1704B contig1.12, whole genome shotgun sequence.